AUUGAACGCUGGCGGCAUGCCUUACACAUGCAAGUCGAACGGCAGCGGACCUUCGGGUGCCGGCGAGUGGCGAACGGGUGAGUAAUAUAUCGGAACGUACCUUUCAGUGGGGGAGUAACGUAGCGAAAGUUACGCUAAUACCGCAUAUUCUGUGAGCAGGAAAGCAGGGGAGUCGCAAGACCUUGCGCUGAUUGAGCGGCCGAUAUCAGAUUAGCUAGUUGGUGAGGUAAAGGCUCACCAAGGCGACGAUCUGUAGCGGGUCGUGAGAGGAUGAUCCGCCACACUGGAACUGAGACACGGUCCAGACUCCUACGGGAGGCAGCAGUGGGGAAGUUUUGGACAAUGGGCGCAAGCCUGAUCCAGCCAUGCCGCGUGAGUGAAGAAGGCC
rnacentral:rRNA from 1 species